rnacentral:rRNA from 1 species
CUCUAAUAGAAAUAAUUAUUAGUAAUAUCUGCUCAAUGAACUUUAAAUAGCCGCAACUUUGUUGUGCUAAGGUAGCAUAAUCAUUUGUCUUUUAAUUAAAGACUAGAACGAACGAUCUAACAUUUUAAUUCCUAUCUUAAUUAUAUAUUUUUAAAUUAUUUUAGAUAUUAAAAAAUAUCUAUUAAUUAAAAAGACGAUAAGACCCUAUUGAACUUUACUUUAGUUAAACUGGGGAAGUUUAUUAAAUAAUAUUUUAAUACAACAUUUUUGAAAAAUGAUCCAAAUAAUUUGAUUUAAUAAUCAAGUUACCAUAGGGAUAACAGCGUAAUAAUUUUCUAAAGAUCUUAUUUAAAACCUUGAUUACGACCUCGAUGUUGAAUAAUUACCUAAUAGAAGUAAAAAUUUAAUAAGGAAGUCUGUUCGACUUUUAAUUAAUUACA